rnacentral:rRNA from 1 species
CCCUUCGGGGACAGAGAGACAGGUGGUGCAUGGUUGUCGUCAGCUCGUGUCGUGAGAUGUUGGGUUAAGUCCCGCAACGAGCGCAACCCCUAUGGUCAGUUGCCAGCACAUGAAGGUGGGCACUCUGGCGAGACUGCCGUUGCAAAACGGAGGAAAGUGGGGACGACGUCAAAUCAUCAUGCCCCUUAUGUCCUGGGCUACACACGUACUACAAUGGCAACAACAGAGGGCAGCCAUGCCGCGAGGCAGAGCGAAUCCCAAAAUGUUGUCUCAGUUCAGAUUGCAGGCUGCAACUCGCCUGCAUGAAGUCGGAAUUGCUAGUAAUGGCAGGUCAGCAUACUCGCCGUCGAAUACGUUCCCGGGCCUU